rnacentral:rRNA from 1 species
CUACGGGUUGCUCCAGUGAGGAAUAUUGCACAAUGGGGGGAACCCUGAUGCAGCAACGCCGCGUGGAGGAUGACGCAUUUCGGUGUGUAAACUCCUUUUAUAUGUCAAGAAAAUGACGGUAGCAUAUGAAUAAGCACCGGCUAACUCCGUGCCAGCAGCCGCGGUAAUACGGAGGGUGCAAGCGUUACUCGGAAUCACUGGGCGUAAAGGACGCGUAGGCGGGGUUGGAAAGUCAGGUGUGAAAUCCUACAGCUUAACUGUAGAACUGCACUUGAAACUUCUAAUCUAGAGUAUGGGAGGGGGAGAUGGAAUUAGUGGUGUAGGGGUAAAAUCCGUAGAUAUCACUAGGAAUACCUAAAGCGAAGGCGAUCUCCUGGAACAUUACUGACGCUAAGGCGUGAAAGCGUGGGGAGCAAACAGGAUUAGAUACCCGAGUAGUC